GGUUAAGUUAGAAAGGGCGCACGGUGGAUGCCUUGGCACUAGGAGCCGAAGAAGGACGGGACUAACACCGAUAUGCUUUGGGGAGCUGUACGUAAGCGUUGAUCCAGAGAUUUCCGAAUGGGGGAACCCACUAUCUUUAGUCGGAUAGUAUCCUUACGUGAAUACAUAGCGUGAGGAAGGCAGACCCAGGGAACUGAAACAUCUAAGUACCUGGAGGAAGAGAAAGAAAAAUCGAUUUCCUGAGUAGCGGCGAGCGAAACGGAAAGAGCCCAAACCAAGAAGCUUGCUUCUUGGGGUUGUAGGACACUCUAUACGGAGUUACAAAAGAAAGUUAUAAAUGAAGCGGUCUGGAAAGGCCCGCCAAAGACGGUAACAGCCCGGUAGUUGAAAUGGCUUUCCCUCCAGAGUGGAUCCUGAGUACGGCGGAACACGUGAAAUUCCGUCGGAAUCCGGGAGGACCAUCUCCCAAGGCUAAAUACUCCCUAGUGACCGAUAGUGAACCAGUACCGUGAGGGAAAGGUGAAAAGCACCCCGGAAGGGGAGUGAAACAGUUCCUGAAACCGUGUGCCUACAAGUAGUUAGAGCCCGUUAAUGGGUGAUAGCGUGCCUUUUGUAGAAUGAACCGGCGAGUUACGAUUUGUUGCAAGGUUAAGCGGAAAAAGCGGAGCCGUAGCGAAAGCGAGUCUGAAUAGGGCGCAUAAGUAACAGGUCGUAGACCCGAAACCAGGUGAUCUACCCAUGUCCAGGAUGAAGGUAAGGUAAUACUUACUGGAGGUCCGAACCCACGCA
rnacentral:rRNA from 1 species